rnacentral:rRNA from 1 species
UGGGGAAUUUUGCACAAUGGGGGAAACCCUGAUGCAGCGACGCCGCGUGAUUUAGAAGGCCUUCGGGUUGUAAAAAUCUUUUGUAUGGGAAGAAAAUGACAGUACCAUACGAAUAAGGACCGGCUAAUUACGUGCCAGCAGCCGCGGUAAUACGUAAGGUCCGAGCGUUGUCCGGAAUCAUUGGGCGUAAAGGGUACGUAGGCGGAUAAGCAAGUUAGAAGUGAAAUCCUAUAGCUCAACUAUAGUAAGCUUUUAAAACUGCUCAUCUUGAGGUAUGGAAGGGAAAGUGGAAUUCCUAGUGUAGCGGUGAAAUGCGCAGAUAUUAGGAGGAAUAACGGUGGCGAAGGCGACUUUCUGGCCAUAUACUGACGCUGAGGUACGAAAGCGUGGGUAGCAAACAGG